rnacentral:rRNA from 1 species
UGGGGAAUAUUGGACAAUGGGGGAAACCCUGAUCCAGCCAUGCCGCGUGCGUGAAGAAGGCCUCAGGGUUGUAAAGCGCUUUCGGCGGGGAAGAUGAUGACGGUACCCGCAGAAGAAGCCCCGGCUAACUCCGUGCCAGCAGCCGCGGUGAUACGGAGGGGGCAAGCGUUGUUCGGAAUUACUGGGCGUAAAGGGCGCGUAGGCGGGCGACUAAGUCAGAGGUGAAAGGCCUGGGCUCAACCUGGGAACUGCCUUUGAAACUAGUUGUCUAGAGUCCGGAAGAGGAUGGCGGAAUUCCCAGUGUAGAGGUGAAAUUCGUAGAUAUUGGGAAGAACACCAGUGGCGAAGGCGGCCAUCUGGUCCGGUACUGACGCUGAGGCGCGAAAGCGUGGGGAGCAAACAGGAUUAGAUACCCUGGUAGUCCACGCCGUAAACGAUGUGUGCUAGCCGUUGGGAAACCUAGUUUCUCGGUGGCGCAGCUAACGCGAUAAGCACACCGCCUGGGGAGUACGGUCGCAAGAUUA